AGCUGGAGAUCACUCCUUUUGGAGUCCUUCUGUGAGCCCUGGAAACAGUUUAUCUUCUUGAUCAAACUGUCCCUGCAAGAGCUGCUGUCUGUGUCUUACCAGAGGGCUUUAAAGUACUGUAGGGAUUGCUUCCGUCCCUGAGCUGCUGCUCUGGUAAAACAAGGAAACACUGGAAACAAGCUGCAGGAAUGACAACUGGCUGGAAACAACAGCAGCACUGGAAACAAGACACCAUUCCAACAGUUCUUUUUAUUUCGAAGUGUGUGCUGAGAUGGUCCGAUUCAAGGACCCGCUGCAAGCAUUGCUGUUCAAUCUUUCAGCAGCCCCAUUAGGACUGAGCAAUACAAGCUUGCAGAACAUGUUACAGAUAGUAGCCACAACAUCUGUAAAUAGGCCAAAAAGAGUAUUUGUUAAACAGUUGUGUAGCAACACAGCAUUGAACUCAGGAUUAAUUUCGCUACUUUCUAGCCUAGUUCUCUUGAUGAACGUAUAUAUUUUUUCAGAUACCAUUUUGUCUGGAAAUGUUAUGUUUAUACUCAUGCUUUCUGCAUCUGUCAAUUAUACAGUGAACAAAUGUAAUGUUAUACUGUCAGGAACUAGAAUUGUUUGUCACUAUUAUAAGUAAGUAAUAGUUACUGGUAUGCAAAAUCUGCUAGUAGUAAUGUCAACUUGCAGCAAAUGUAUUAUAGCCUCUCUACCAUAUGUAAUGAUUGUAUUAUAAUAAUUUCCUCAGUUUUCCCAGAUGCAUAAGAGUGAUUAUAAUACCACUUGUUACAAAAGCUAAGGAAUUUGCUAAUAAAAAUGAACUCUAGACAU
rnacentral:lncRNA from 7 species